rnacentral:rRNA from 1 species
CCUACGGGUGGCAGCAGUGAGGAAUAUUGGUCAAUGGGCGCAAGCCUGAACCAGCCAAGUAGCGUGAAUGAUGACUGCCCUACGGGUUGUAAACUUCUUUUAUAAAGGAAUAAAGUGAGGCGCGUGUGCCUUUUUGUAUGUACUUUAUGAAUAAGGAUCGGCUAACUCCGUGCCAGCAGCCGCGGUAAUACGGAGGAUCCGAGCGUUAUCCGGAUUUAUUGGGUUUAAAGGGAGCGUAGAUGGGUUGUUAAGUCAGUUGUGAAAGUUUGCGGCUCAACCGUAAAAUUGCAAUUGAUACUGGGAGUCUUGAGUACAGUUGAGGUAGGCGGAAUUCGGGGUGUAGCGGUGAAAUGCUUAGAUAUAACGAAGAACGCCGAUUGCGAAGGCAGCUUACUAAACUGCCACUGACAUUGAUGCUCGAAAGUGUGGGUAGCAAACAGGAUUUGAUACCCCAGUAGUC